rnacentral:rRNA from 1 species
AGCGAACGCUGGCGGCAGGCCUAACACAUGCAAGUCGAACGGAUCCUUCGGGAUUAGUGGCGGACGGGUGAGUAACACGUGGGAACGUGCCCUUUGGUUCGGAACAACUCAGGGAAACUUGAGCUAAUACAGGAUGUGCCCUUCGGGGGAAAGGUUUAUCGCCAUUGGAGCGGUCCGCGUCUGAUUAGCUAGUUGGUGAGGUAAAGGCUCACCAAGGCGACGAUAAGUAGCUGGUCUGAGGGGAUGAUAAGCCACAUUGGGACUGAGACACGGCCCGAACUCCUACGGGAGGCAGCAGUGGGGAAUCUUGCGAAAUGGGCGAAAGCCUGACGGAGCCAUGCAGCGUGAAUGAUGAAGGUCUUAGGAUUGUAAAAUUCUUUCACCGGGGACGAUAAUGACGGUACCCGGAGAAGAAGCCCCGGCUAACUUCGUGCCAGCCGCCGCAGUAAAAC